AUCGAGCUGACGAGUCCAAAAUAGGACGAAAAGCGCCUCUUGGAU
rnacentral:hammerhead_ribozyme from 1 species